rnacentral:lncRNA from 1 species
AGAAAUGGAUUUUACCGGUGGAAAGAGGCAACGAUGGUGGAUCUGAGUCGAGAGAGAAAUGCUCUCGAAGACGCUGAGAGUGAAACCCUAGCAUAGGAAGGUUUCGUGGUAUGUGGAAAAUGAGAAGUGAUGCGUCUGGAGUACGAAUGACGCUGAUAUGGCUUCAAGAAGGAACGCGUGGCUUGAAAACUCGUGACGCGUGUCUGAAGCAGAGUGGAGGAAUUGGUAACGAUGAGAGAGAAGCACGGUGGAGUAAUUGGAACAAUGAAAUAGUGAAGUGUGCUUUGGAAGGAGGCUAGAGGUCUUUGGACUCUCUAGCCAAUGACUUUCAAGGGAGAAUUAUUUUCUGAUUUAGAAAACCAAAUUCUCAUUAAUCUCAAAAGUAAGUACAAGAAGUGUAGGCAUGGCUAUAUAUAGGACUAGAAGUCCCACAUGCCUAACACAAUACAAGGUACAUAAAAGAAAGACUACACUAAAGACAUUGGGCUUGGGCCCCGCGUAUCANAUAUAUAGGACUAGAAGUCCCACAUGCCUAACACAAUACAAGGUACAUAAAAGAAAGACUACACUAAAGACAUUGGGCUUGGGCCCCGCGUAUCAUCCCCUCCCUCUUGGAAAGGAUUUGUCCUCAAAUCUGAUGGUUCGCCUGAGGACUUAUUUUUGUAAACUCCAUAGAAGUUCCUCCUGGAUCAAAUAUUAAUCUGCAAUAAGCAUCAAACAUAUCUCUAAUUAGUUUUAUUUGACCCAAUAAGAUAUAUAAAGGAAUAUAUCUAGAAGAAGGUUUCCUAACUUUGAAAUUUUCAAGUUUAUGAAUAAAAAGAAACCUUACUCCUUUUGAAAAUUUAUUUUUGUCUUGAGUAAGUGAUAACUUGGAAGAUAUCUCUAACUCAAGUCUUUGAUUGCCAUGUGUUAAAGAUUGCAACUUUUGAAAAGGUUUAAUGGCAAUUUUUUGGAAAGAAAAAAUAGAAUUAGAACAUUCAAUAACAAAUGGUAAGUGAAAAGAUAGAAAACCUCCCCUUAAAAAUUUGUGUUCUAUUGUAAGAGCAGGGGAUGUUGCCCUCCAUUGUUCUUUCUUCUUUUCUUCCCUGUCUUUCUUUUCAAGUUCUUCCUUCUCUUCCUCUUCCUUUCUUUCUUUCUCUCUUAUUUUCUCUUGUUCUCUUCUCUCUUGUAUUGUUCUCUCUCUUUCUUCCUUUUCUUUUUUCUCUCUUUCUUCUUCUUCUCUUCUCACUCUUUCUUCCUCUUCUUUUCUCUCUUGUUCUCUCUUUCUCUCUCUUUGUCUUUCUUCUUCUCGUUUUCUCUCUUUUCUUCUCUCUUGUCUCUCUAUUCUUUCUUGUAAUUGUCUAUGUUCUCUCUCAAAUCUCCUUUUACUUCCCUCAUUCAAGAACUUCAUGAGUUUUUCUCUAAACUCUGUUUCCCUACGAUAGAAUCCACUUAAAUUUUGAAUGAAUGACUUGCCUCCUCUAAUAAACUCUCUCAUAAGUUGUAAAUUUCUUUGAAUCUUUGCAGGUAAAAUGUUUUUUCUCAAACACCCUUUCUAUUCAUUCCAAUCAUUGAUGGGAGAUUUUCUACCUAUGGUAACAUGAUAUUCUCUUUCUUCCCACCACUCUCUUGCAUACCUUUCAAACUUGGAAAUGUAUACCCUAGGAACGCAAUUUUGAUUUGCUCGAGAAAAAACAUGAUAUGUCUCGU